rnacentral:lncRNA from 1 species
UCGAAAUUGAGAAUCCGGCGAGUUGAGCCAUUGAAAGUUUGAAUCAUACAUAAUGAAGCCGAAGAAGAAGAAGGUGAUGAUGAUUGAAGAGAUGGCGGUGGUUUUUAUUUUUAUGUUAGUAGGUUAUUAAAUGGAAUAAAAAUCCUAAUUAGAUAGUAUUUUUACGUUUUUAUUUUUUUUAUUUUAGCUUUUAGAUUUUGAUAUUUAAUCUAAUGAUGAAUAAUGAUGUUAUCAUGUAACCAUAAAAUAACUUAUUGUCAUAGCAGGUUUUCUAAAUUUUUUUAUGUGCUUCAAGGGUGUGUAUUGUUUAGAAACAAAAUAAGAAUAGGAAGCUCCAGUAAAUUUGUUUAAAUUUCCUUAUAAAAAAU